rnacentral:rRNA from 1 species
CGAAAGCCUGACGGAGCAAGACCGCGUGGGGGAGGAAGGCUCUUGGGUUGUAAACCCCUUUUCUCAGGGAAGAACCAAAUGACGGUACCUGAGGAAUCAGCCUCGGCUAACUCCGUGCCAGCAGCCGCGGUAAUACGGAGGAGGCAAGCGUUAUCCGGAAUGAUUGGGCGUAAAGCGUUCGUAGGUGGCUAUUCAAGUCUGCUGUCAAAGACAGAAGCUCAACUUCUGAAAGGCAGUGGAAACUGAGUAGCUGGAGUGCGGUAGGGGCAGAGGGAAUUCCCGGUGUAGCGGUGAAAUGCGUAGAGAUCGGGAAGAACACCGGUGGCGAAAGCGCUCUGCUGGGCCGCAACUGACACUGAGGGACGAAAGCUAGGGGAGCG